CAGUGGGUCUGUGUGAAUUUUGGUGGUGUGAAUUAUGAGUAGUGAGAGUGUAUUAUGUACUAUGAUGUGUUUAUUAUAUUCUUUCUAUAGAAGAUAAAUUCCCUCUACUAUGUAUAUGAGGUGUGUGUAUAUGUAGCUAUAUAAGUGCGUAUGUAUGGAAAACAUGAGAGGAAAAGGGGCAGCCUAGGGGUAUAGGUGGUGUAGGAGGUGGGG
rnacentral:lncRNA from 1 species